rnacentral:tRNA from 1 species
GUGGUGGCUCAGCGGUAGAGCACUUGCCUAGCAUGUGUAAGACCCUGAGUUCAAUCCUCAGCACUAUA